GCCUCGGUGGUGUAAUGGAGAGCACGGCAGACCGGAUAUCUGUAAGUGCGGGUACGAGUCCCGCCUGAGGUU
rnacentral:tRNA from 1 species